UACAUCUACUUAUAUGAUUUAUACAUAAGUACAUAUUUACAAAUAAACCUAAGUGCAUCGUCGAACUCAUACAAAUGCCCCGAUAUACAUACAUAUAUACAUAUGUGUGACCAAUGAUCCAACAAAUCGAUCCAACUUUUCACAAUGGUUUCCAGUACGUGUUCCAUCUCUUUCACGCAUUUGCCUGAAAGCAAAUCCAUGGCGGCCAUAACCAUGCGAAAUUCGGUAUUUCACAACUUCAAAUUUCGGCAAUGAUGAAAUUGUGUUGUAUAAGUCCAAAGACAUGUCAGCAAUGGAACCAGUACUACUAAAACGGUUCAUAGUUCACUUUUGGGAAAAAGUAUAAACGAAAAAGAGUUUCACCAUGAGGUUUACACGGAUUGAGCCCAAUCUUGUUGCUUUGGCCGAGAAAUAUAAUGUGAAUAAAAUGAUCUGCCGCAAAUGUUAUGCUCGCCUGCCGCCGAGGGCCACCAAUUGUCGGAAGAAGGACUGCCAUUCUAGCGAUCUGCGUCCUAAAAAGAUAUUGAAGGAUUACAAAUAAAUGCUUAGAUAUACUGUGGCCAAAACUACCUCUCUAUAUUUAUGAAAUGAUAUACAUAUGUACAUAUGUACAUGUAUAGAUAUGUGUAAAUAUCAUGUGUAAAAUUUGAUUGUAAAUCAUACUACCGUAGAUACCACUGGAGGUAUUUUUUUACUUUUUUAAUAAAAUCUUUUAAAAUAA